AUUCCUGCCCUUGGCAGUGUGAGAUGGAAGAUGAUGUCGCAAGGGUGGCCGAGAAGCAGCUGGGCUGAGCUGCUAAAAGCACAGAGACCGGGGCCAGACUCCUCAGCCUGAAAUCCUGCUUCCACUAAGUACCAGCUGGGUAACUUCAGGUCUUCUGUGCUCAGUUUCAGGCCCUGGAGGUCCAUGCUUCUGCCCAAGCUGUGUCUCAUCUCUGCAGGUGGAGCCCAGUUGACAGGAAAUGUUUCUCCAGAAGCUGAAAAGCUGCCUGGUAAAGGCCUUUCAUAAAAUGGUCUGCGUUUGGGACCAGGAAGACAGAAGACUCCUCAAGAAGAGAACUGGAACCUUAACCCACUUCAGACUUCUUCAUGUCUGAAGCUUAUUUCCACCAUCCCAUUGAGAACCAAAGAAGCGAGCUCCUUGGAGAAUCGGCUCCCACCUGGACCUUCUGUUUAUCCUUCCAAUAGCUGCUG
rnacentral:lncRNA from 1 species